rnacentral:rRNA from 1 species
UACGGAGGGUGCAAGCGUUGUCCGGAUUUAUUGGGCGUAAAGAGCUCGUAGGCGGCUUGUCGCGUCGAAUGUGAAAUCUCAGGGCUCAACUCUGACAUUGCAUUCGAUACGGGCAGGCUAGAGUUCGGUAGGGGAGACUGGAAUUCCUGGUGUAGCGGUGAAAUGCGCAGAUAUCAGGAGGAACACCGGUGGCGAAGGCGGGUCUCUGGGCCGAUACUGACGCUGAGGAGCGAAAGCGUGGGGAGCGAACAGG